rnacentral:SRP_RNA from 2 species
ACCGAGCUUGGUUGCGCGGGCUUGUAACCCAAGUGGGGGCAUUAAGGUGGUGUGGAUGGUUGGGCGCGGACUCUGGGCUUGGGUCUAUUCUGUGCCCUUGCUGGCCUUGCCCGUUCCAAGUUGGUAGUGGCCUGUUCGGGCCAAGCGAAAGCUCGGGCAUCACUGGACCUGAAGUGGUAGGAACAGCUUGAGGCUAGGUUCACAGAGCAGCGAUCACUGCUCGCUUCCAACGGUGGAAGGAUAAUAGGCCACUACAUCACGGGCCGACCUAGACCCUGAGGAGCUGGCGGUGAGGAUUG